rnacentral:pre_miRNA from 1 species
AGUGGGAUAGCUGGGUCAAAUGGUGGUUCCAUUCCAAGUUUUCCAAGGAAUCUCAAUACUGCUUUCCAUAUUUUGGUUGCACCAAUUUGCAGUCCCACCAGCAGU